GCAGUAUAUUGACUGUACAAAGGUAGCAUAAUCAUUAGUCUUUUAAUUGAAGACUUGUAUGAAAGAUUUAAUGAAAUAUAAACUGUCUCUUAUUUAAGAAUAGAAUUUAAUUUUUUAGUAAAAAAGCUAAAAUAAAUUUAAAAGACGAGAAGACCCUAUAGAGUUUUAUAAUUAAAUUAUUUAAGAUUUUUUUUAUAAUUUAUAAUUAAAAAUAAUUUAAUUAUUAUAUUGGGGUGAUAGAAAAAUUAAAAUAACUUUUUUUUUAUUAUAACAUAAAUAAAUGAAAAUUUGAUCCAUUAAUAAUGAUUAAAAGAAAAAAUUACCUUAGGGAUAACAGCGUAAUUUUUUUUUUUAGUACAAAUAAGAAAAAGAGAUUGCGACCUCGAUGUUGGAUUAAGAUAAAAUUUAGAUGCAAAAGUUUAAAAUUUUGAUCUGUUCGAUCAUUAAAAUCUU
rnacentral:rRNA from 1 species